AUACAGUCACACCUAGUUGCUCAGGCAAUUUGUUUCUUCAUUUUCUGGUUGCUCUGCAUCGGCCACUCCAGGCCCAGCCCAGAUACUCAGAAUUUAUAAACAAAGCCUUUACAAGAAGAACUAAACUGUUUCAGACAGGCAGGGGCAGCAAGAUAGUGUCAGAGACUCAGAUUCUCAUGUCCCUGCUGCUCUGGAUAUCUGGUGCCUGUGGGGAGAUCAUGAUGACACAGACUCCAGCCUCACUGGCUGUGUCAGCAGGACAGAGAGUCACCAUUAGCUGCAAGUCCAGUCAGAGUCUUUAUAAAAGUUCAAACAAGAACUACUUGGCCUGGUACCAGCAGAAGCCAGGGCAGACUCCCAAACUGCUGAUCUACUGGGCAUCCACACAAGAAUCAGGGGUCCCUGAUUGCUUCAUAGGCAGUGGGUCUGGGACAGAUUUCACUCUCACCAUCAGUAGUGUCCAGGCUAGAGACCUGGCAGAUUAUUACUGUGAGCAGUAUUAUGAGUUAUCCUCUCACAAUGCUUCACACUCGAACACAAACCACUCAGAUUCUCUCCAGCUGCUUACACAGCCCACAGCCUCAGACUUGCAUACUUCCUCCAUCUGCCAAACAGCCAGCACGUCUGACUCACUGAUUAGAAA